rnacentral:rRNA from 1 species
GACGAACGCUGGCGGCGUGCUUAACACAUGCAAGUCGAACGGAAAGGCCCUGCUUUUGUUGGUUUCUCGAUUGGCGAACGGGUUAGUAACACUUGAGUAACCUGCCCUUGAAUUUCUGAUAACUUCUGGGAACUUGGGCUAAUAUCGGAUAUGAUCUCCUGCUGCAUGUUGUUGGUUGGAAAAUUUCGGCGGUUGUGGAUGUACUCGCUGCUUAUCAGCUUGUUUGUUUUGUAGUGGCUUACCAAGGGUUUGACGGGUAGCCUGCCUGAGAGCGUGACCAGGGACCUUGGUACUGAGAGAGGGAGCAGAAUGGUACGGGGGGCAGUAGUGGGGAAUAUUGCAGAACGGGGGGACGCGUGAUACAGAAAUCUCGCGUGCGGGAUGACGGCCUUCGGGUUGUAAACCACUUUCGCCUGUGACGAAGCGGGAGUGACGGUAAUGGGUAAAGAAGCCACGGCUAACUACGUG